GAUGAACGCUGGCGGCGUGCUUAAUACAUGCAAGUCGAACGGAGAACUUUGUAGCAAUACGGAGUUUCUCAGUGGCGAACGGGUGAGUAACGCGUUGGUGACCUGCCCCGAAGUGUGGGAUAACAGUCCGAAAGGAUUGCUAAUACCGCAUGUGGUCCUCGGAUUUAGAAACCGAUGAUUAAAGGAGUAAUUCGCUUCGGGAGGGACCUGCGUCCCAUCAGCUAGUUGGUGAGGUAACGGCCCACCAAGGCUUCGACGGGUAAGGGACCUGAGAGGGUGGUCCCUCACAAUGGCACUGAAACACGGGCCAUACACCUACGGGAGGCAG
rnacentral:rRNA from 1 species